rnacentral:rRNA from 1 species
UACGUAGGGUCCGAGCGUUGUCCGGAAUUAUUGGGCGUAAAGGGCUCGUAGGCGGUUUUGUCGCGUCGGGAGUGAAAACACGGGGCUUAACCCGUGCCUGCUUCCGAUACGGGCAGACUAGAGGUAUGCAGGGGAGAACGGAAUUCCAGGUGUAGCGGUGAAAUGCGUAGAUAUCUGGAGGAACACCGGUGGCGAAGGCGGCAUCCUGGACCGACACUGACGCUGAGGAGCGAAAGCCAGGGAGCAAACGGG